AGAGAGAGACAUGCGCGCAUAUCAAUAAGCGGAGGAAAAGAAACUAACAAGGAUUCCCUUAGUAACGGCGAGUGAAGCGGGAAGAGCUCAAAUUUGAAAUCUUCAAGGUUUUACCUUGACGAAUUGUAGUUUAAAGAAGUGUUUUCUGCUGAAGUUUUGGUAAAAGUUCUUUGGAAUAGGACAUCAUAGAGGGUGAGAAUCCCGUAUUUGACCAUUAUUUUCAGCUUUGUGAUACACUUUCAAAGAGUCGGAUUGUUUGGGAAUGCAGUCCAAAAUGGGUGGUAAAUUUCAUCUAAAGCUAAAUAUUGGCGAGAGACCGAUAGCGAACAAGUACCGUGAGGGAAAGAUGAAAAGAACUUUGAAAAGAGAGUUAAACAGUACGUGAAAUUGUCAAAAGGGAAGCGUUUGACACCAGUGUUGUUUUCUCGAAAAUCAAUUAAAAAUGGCUCGAUUUUGUAUUGCUGAGACCUUAAAAGCUCACUGUACAUUUUUCGUGUCCUUUUUUAAUGCACUUUUCGUUUAACAAGUCAACAUCAGUUUCUUUUGUUGUAAAAGGGUCAUUGGAAGGUGGCUUUCUUUUCGGAGAAAGUGUUUAUAGCCUUUGGCCUCUGCAAUCGGAGAGACUGAGGUCUGCAGCGUAGACUCUUCGGGGUUAGAUACAUUUGUGCUAAGUUAUAGCCUUUUCAUAGACAACUUGUUGACUAUAAUCAGUCAUGUAGCUUACUCGCUUAUGCUAUUUUACCUACGCUUAGGAUGUUGAGUCGUAGAGCACGCAG
rnacentral:rRNA from 1 species